ensembl:lncRNA
UCUUUAUGUUGAACAGAAACUGCUCUGUAAGAGAGAAGUAUUUUGUAGCUAGAUACCUUCAGGCUUGAGCAACUAUUGAAUGUGGAUUCUUAAGUCUCAAGAUUUCUGCUUUUUUUGGAGUUGGAUUGGCUGCAUUCUCCAAAUGAUUGCUGGAGUCGUGGGCAGUUCCAAGUGGUAGACAUCUCAUAGGUUGCACCAAAGACAAGGAUGCUGCUCUUGAACAUGUCUGUCAAGCUUCCUUGGCCCUGACUCGUCAGUCACCUCCAUCUUUGAAAUGUGAUUGUAUUCAAGAUGGCUUAGAAAACUAAAUGUGGAUAGAAUGACUCAUGUUGUCCUGAAUUCGGAUGACGGUCUCUGAAGACUCCUGAUAGUACAUCAUGAAAAUUUUAUAUGGGCUGUGUCUGAAGCAAACUUGCUUAUCUACUUGAAGUGACUUUUUUUACAGAUUCAAAAUGUUUCAGUUAUUUCAACAUAUUAGUGAGCACUUGGUUUACCUCAUCUAUCUUUACUUGCCAGAAAAGGUUUUAUGUUUCAGUUCUUCUGGGAGAAUUUGAGAGUAAAGGUAACAACAGUGAAAUCCUCCAGGUGCAGCUAACAGAGCUCUUACAAUUCUAUCUCACUUCUAGCAGUUGGUUGGAAUGGAGUUUUUGUGGCUAAAAUUGUAUUUAAUACUGUAUCUUGAUUCUACUUCCCAUCUCCUCCCCUUUUGUUUGGGUCAGUUGAGUGUUCAGGAACAAAAAUCCAUAUUACAAGUGUCUUUUUUCAAAUGAGAAUUCUUCAAGGAGAUAGACUUGACCCUAUUUGUCUCAUGUCAUUGAGACCCUGGUUUUGAGAAAGACCUCUAAACACUACUGCAGUUUGAAUAAAUACAGCAGGUGGGGUGUGUGGGUUUUUUUUAAAUCACUGUUAAAAGAAAAAAAAAAAGGUUCACCUUGCAGUAUGAAGUGAUGCUGAAAACAGUGUUAUUUUUAUAUCAUCCAUUCAACAGUACAGGAACACUCCCUUCCUGCCUAUCCCGUUAAUUAUUUUGAAGAGACGAACUCUAUGACAUAAAGCAGAAAACACUAUCUACCUGCAAAAGACAGAUGUACAGUGGGAUCUGAAGAAAACUCCAGUCUCACUUUUCAUAAGUUUGCUUACAAAUUGGUCAUUCAGACAUCAAGUGUAGACAGCCAAACGCACAGCUUAUCUGCAGAGCUGCUUCCCUUGGCUCCACUGUAGCCUUAUCGUUCAUUCUUUCAGAAAAAGAAACCCCAGGAAUUCACAGACAAACCCUUCAGUGUGAUCAGCUGCCCUUUUCACCAUAGAUGUUAUAUGAAACUGAAUUGUGAUAACAUCUUGAUGCCUUGCAAAAAUUAAGCUUAUUACAUGUAGGCAAUUACUUUAAUCAACAGUAUUUCCUAACCUUUUGAAGGAAGAAAGUCAUGCUUUUUUCCAGACCAGUUGUUUCUAAAACCACAUAACUGGGCAUUAAAUAUUUUUCCAUACUUAGUCAGUUGCAGCAGUUUUGUUAUUCCGCCAAGAACUGAGUUUCAGCAGUUGGUCUGUUGUUACCUGAUUCAUCCCUCUUGGCUUUCUUAUUAUGGGCACAACAUUGGCUCUCUUAUAAUCUUCUGGAUUUUCUCCAGUUUUUCCUGACUUAUUAGAAAAUUAACACUAUCAAAUGAGAUCUCUGCCUCUGCAUUUUUAGUGUUCUUUGAUACAUUCCAGUCCCCAGCUUUUCUGACUAAAAAAUGUUUAUCCCCUGUAAAAACUUUCUUAGCAUACGACCUAAUAAUUUAUUGUAAACGAAGUUUGUCUUCUUCAAUAUCUUGUACAGUCUGCCUCCUGUAUCCCUGCACAAUAAAAGACCCUUUGUACCUUU